UUUUUUUUUUUUUUUCCUCAGGAGAACAGGGAAGGUACCACAUGGGCCUGGUUUGAGUGAGAGCAUUUGGACAGUGAGGCACAUUUGACAGGAGCAGGAGAGGGGCAAAAGUACAGGUGAAAACAGAGGGUUUGGCUGCAAUUAAUGCUUUUUACAUUCUUUCACAUAUCACUUGCUGGCCACAAAAAUGUCCACUUCCCUCAGGGGCGGUUUUCCAGGUGGUCUUUUCCCAGGCCUGGCUUCCUGGACAGGUUUUUUGCAGGAGGCAGGGAUGGGGAAAUCCCAGGCAGAUUUACUCAGACUUCCUCAAGUUACCAAAAUUAGGGCAGCUGAAUUCCAGUCUGAGGGAUCAAUGAUAAGACAUCACAGGAAGCACAAAACUCAAAUUAGCAUCCACAGAAGAUCCUGGACUGUUUGUGUCCUGCAGGGAGCUAUGAGGGGCUCUGCUGUGACCUGCAGGGCUGGAGAAGCAGCAGGAGCUGCUGUCACACCCCACAGUGCCCAGGGGGACAGGGGGAGACCACCAGCUCCACAUCUGCACCUGGAGAGCACAAAGGGGAGGGCUGCUCCUUCUGCAGGCACUUCCUGAUAAAAUAAUACCUAAUACAUAUCGAUAAACUGAAUUAAUGAGGGGAAAGUGUUAAGGGGAAGUAAAUGCAUUUCCAGAUUAGUUUAUGACAGGAUUAAUCUACACACUCCAGUUUCAGUGCUGGCUGCUUUCCCUCUAACCCAUCCCACUGCAAACCAACCCCUCUGAGCACUGAUCUCACCAGCCUGGCAGCUUUCAGAUGCAGCUGCCCGAAACUCUGCACCUAAAUGCAGACCUUUUAGGAGCUGAAGCACAUCUCUUGGAGAGGAAUGAUGUUAAAUUGGUGCGAUCUCUGCCGGCUGAGCACUGCCAGCCGGAGCAGUGCUGGGCAGGGGGUUCCAGCUGGCAGGAGGGGUGACAAAGAACAGGCAAAGUGGGGGCUCCGAGACCCCUGAGCAGAGCCCAAACCAGCCUCAGCAGCUCUGCAGCUUCUCUCCUCACCCACUUUGGUGCUGCCCUUGCACAGCUGCAGCAGUUUCCCCAAAGUUUUACACAAACCUCCCUCUCCACAGCCCCACACCCUGCCCGAGGAGGGAUGGGGGAACCAAGCACCGCUGUCUCCUUUCUGCCCGUGUUUUGCAUAUUUGAAAGCUCUUAUCGUGCUUCACCUGAAGCUUCUCCCCGGGCCCCAUCGCCCCCGUGUCCGGCAGGAUGCUGGGGGGGCACAGCACCCAGGUCUGCCUCCCUCCCUGCCCGAGAGGUGCCCAAAUAUGGUGCCACACUGCUCCAGCGUGGCCCGGCAUUACUUCAUUCCUUGCAUAUGCAACACACCUAUUUAUACAUUUUAACGGGAUGUUUGCCAUUCUCGGCCCGGGGUGUUAUCCCUCCUGUGGAGCUGUGGGUGCUGCGAUGCCCCCAGGCUUGUUUUCCUUUCAGCCCUUCACCCUCCCCGUCCUGGAACGUGCAUUUGCUCAUCACACCCUCCUCUGCAGCACCUUCUUUCAGACCUUUCCCCCAAUUUAUGAUUUCCAUCCCAAGCCCGUCUCCUUGGUGCAGUGCUUGGAUGCCUUUCAGCUCCCCUUCCCCUCCAAAUUCCACAGGCAGACAAACCAUGUCUGUCUAACUCUGUUCUCCCACCAUUUAUGGAAUAUUUAGUUUCCCCAGCUCUGGAAAACUCUUUCCAGUUCAUCCCAGUAACUAUUAACAGCUAUUCUCUGAAUAUCCUCUAAGAGGAAGAAACUAGAUUCUAUGGUUACAGCCAUUUUUGAAAAACUUCGGAUGCAAUUUCUCCCAUCUCUCAGGAUGGGAUACAGGAUGCAUUCACUCCUGGAGAGGGGGUGCUUGUCCUCCCUCCACCUUUCCAGGACUCACUCCUCACUGCAAGGUCUCAGAAGCCACUGCAGACAUUCCCUCUGCACCCUGGCAGGAGCUGCAGCCCUGACCUACCUGGGCUGGCUGUCCUUGCCCUUUUCUCCUCUGCUGCAGCGCUGAUCUUCCCUGCCAGCACUGGGAUCAAAAUCUGCUUUCCUGGUGGCACCUCACCUGUUUAGUGACAACCACAGCAGUUGGAAAGUAAGCAACGAGCCCCUUCCAGGGACUGGCAGCAGCUUUUCCUUGUCCUUAGCAAAGGGACAAGUCACUGGUGCA
rnacentral:lncRNA from 1 species